UACAGAGGUCUCAAGCGUUGUUCGGAUUCAUUGGGCGUAAAGGGUGCGUAGGCGGCGCGGUAAGUCGGGUGUGAAUCUCGGGCUUAACUCCGAAACUGCAUUCGAUACUGCCGUGCUUGAGGACUGGAGAGAGACUGGAAUUUACGGUGAGCGGUGAAAUGCGUAGAUAGUCGAUAAGGAAGACCAGUGGCGAAGGCGGGUCUCC
rnacentral:rRNA from 1 species